rnacentral:rRNA from 1 species
AGUGAACGCUGGCGGUAGGCCUAACACAUGCAAGUCGAACGGCAGCACAGUAAGAGCUUGCUCUUACGGGUGGCGAGUGGCGGACGGGUGAGGAAUACAUCGGAAUCUACUUUUUCGUGGGGGAUAACGUAGGGAAACUUACGCUAAUACCGCAUACGACCUACGGGUGAAAGCAGGGGAUCUUCGGACCUUGCGCGAUUGAAUGAGCCGAUGUCGGAUUAGCUAGUUGGCGGGGUAAAGGCCCACCAAGGCGACGAUCCGUAGCCGGUCUGAGAGGAUGAUCGGCCGCACUGGAGCUGGACCACGGUCCAGACGCCUACGGGAGGCAGCAGUGGGGAAUAUUGGACAAUAGGCGCAAGCCUGAUCCAGCUAUACCGCGUGGGUGGAGGAGGCCUUCGGGUUGUAAAGCCCUUUUGUUGGGAAAGAAAAGCAGCAGGUUAAUACCCCGCUGUUCUGACGGUACCCAAAGAAUAAGCACCGGCUAACUUCGUG